CCUACGGGAGGCUGCAGUGAGGAAUAUUGGUCAAUGGACGAGAGUCUGAACCAGCCAAGUAGCGUGAAGGAUGACUGCCCUAUGGGUUGUAAACUUCUUUUAUAAAGGACUAAAACGAGGCACGUGUGCCUUUUUGCAUGUACUUUAUUAAUAAGGAUCGGCUAACUCCGUGCCAGCAGCCGCGGUAAUACGGAGGAUCCGAGCGUUAUCCGGAUUUAUUGGGUUUAAAGGGAGCGUAGAUGGGUUGUUAAGUCAGUUGUGAAAGUUUGCGGCUCAACCGUAAAAUUGCAAUUGAUACUGGCAGUCGUGAGUACAGUUGAGGUAGGCGGAAUUCGUGGUGUAGCGGUGAAAUGCUUAGAUAUCACGAAGAACCCCGAUUGCGAAGGCAGCUUACUAAACUGUGACUGACAUUGAUGCUCGAAAGUGUGGGUAUCAAACAGGAUUAGAUACCCCUGUAGUC
rnacentral:rRNA from 1 species